CUUUUAUUAUAAAACAUGGUGAUUAAUCAAUAAUAUGAAAAAAAUACAAAUUUAAACAAUUAUUUGAAUUAUUAGAUAUUGUUUAUAUUAUAUCCACACAUGAAUGUACACUAGACCGGUACCGGCAUUUUAUUUUUAUGUAAGUGUUUAGCCUGUAAAAUAUACACCACUUGCGCAUUAAGGAUCAACUUCUAACGAAACGAUCAUUCUACGCUCUAUGCAUCAUAGUAAAUCAUAGGCACAACUAGGGGGGGAAACAUGAAUUCUAUGAAUUUGUGAAAUGUAGGAGAAUUCUAUAGGUAAAAAGAAAUCAACUUUAAAUGUUAGAUAUUAUAAUGCAGAUGAGUAAAUUAAAAAUUUGUCACAAAAUGACACUCAAUGGACUAAUGGUACUCACCUAAGAGAUCAUUUUGGAUUUUCUAUAAACCAAUAACUAAACAACUGUUCUACAUAUUUUAUUUCUUCAACCAAUAGUUAAUAGUAGUACAAUAGAAGAGAGUGAGUAGCACCUAUUAUAUUUUAUUUUUCUCUUGUUUGUAUGAACUACUUAGGUUUUUUUUUUCUAGGUUUUAGCACCCUCAUGUAGUGUAUACCAUUAACAAUUCAAUACAGUAAACAGUAAACUCUAAGGACAACAGUCAGAUUUUUAAAAUUAAUAAAUAUUGGUAAUAUAUUAUAUAUAGGUAAACAGUGAAAGACGUUAAAAUCAAAACAAAAUAGCGUUAUCAAUCAAAAGUCAAAAUCUAUAGAGAUAAAUUUCGACAAUAUAAAGUUCCAUAAACCGUUUUAACAUGAAAUUGAGAGAGUAAAAUUUCCGCAAAAUGUAAAUGUGUUAUGAGAGAGCUAAAAGG